GAAGAUUGGAGGGGAUGAGUCAGGGGCAAGGAAGGAUUAACAGAUUCUGCCUCAAGUCCUGGUGAACCAACUCCUCUCCCCAAGACAGACACAUACUAGUGAAAUAAAUUGGAUUUAAAUCAUCACCUGAGGCAAUCCUGAAAGAGAAAAGCAGUCCUAGAAAAGAGUGGAGGAAAAGAGGACAGCCCCAUUCUCUUUGUGACCACGAAGACUGCCGCCAUGUGGUUGGGAGCCACGUAACUUCUUUUAGUGCCAGCUGAGAUUCUUCUGCCCUGGAACUAGUUCCUCCGAGUUAUUGCCAGGCCUGGAGAUUGAAUUCCUGCAGCUGGAAGGUGGGGAAAGCAAAAUGUUGUGAGCACCUACCAUAUGCCAGGCACUGUUCAGUGAACUGGUUGUACAGGAGUGAAUGAGAUCAUCUUGAUUUUGAGAAGUUUAUAAUCUACUCAAGGGAAACACGUGUAAUCAACUAUGUUUCAGACAUAACCCCUCAAAACCAAAGCAGAACCUCUUCAAGGAGCUGAGAGAUGCAAGCCUGGUACAGGGUCAGCAUGACUCAAAAAGA
rnacentral:lncRNA from 10 species